UGGACAGAUUAAGUAUUCGACUGUAUUCACAGCGUGAAAUAGGGGAUUACACUGUUUUUAAAACAGAAAGUGAAUCAAUUAACAUAAUAGACUCCU
rnacentral:pre_miRNA from 1 species